rnacentral:rRNA from 1 species
AUUGAACGCUGGCGGCAGGCUUAACACAUGCAAGUCGAGCGGGGUGAUGGCGCUUGCACUAUCACUUAGCGGCGGACGGGUGAGUAAUGCUUAGGAAUCUGCCUAUUAGUGGGGGACAACAUCUCGAAAGGGAUGCUAAUACCGCAUACGUCCUACGGGAGAAAGCAGGGGAUCACUUGUGACCUUGCGCUAAUAGAUGAGCCUAAGUCGGCUUAGCUAGUUGGUGGGGUAAAGGCCUACCAAGGCGACGAUCUGUAGCGGGUCUGAGAGGAUGAUCCGCCACACUGGGACUGAGACACGGCCCAGACUCCUACGGGAGGCAGCAGUGGGGAAUAUUGGACAAUGGGGGGAACCCUGAUCCAGCCAUGCCGCGUGUGUGAAGAAGGCCUUAUGGUUGUAAAGCACUUUAAGCGAGGAGGAGGCUCUUUUGGUUAAUACCCAAGAUGAGUGGACGUUACUCGCAGAAUAAGCACCGGCUAACUCUGUGCCAGCCGCCGCCGUAA